GAAACAACUCUCAGCAACGGAUAUCUUGGCUCUUGCAACGAUGAAGAACGCAGCGAAAUGCGAUACGUAGUGUGAAUUGCAGAAUAUUGUGAAUCAUCGAAUCUUUGAACGCAAGUUGCGCCCGAGGCUCGUCCGAGGGCAUUUCCGCUAGAGCGUCACC
rnacentral:rRNA from 1 species